rnacentral:rRNA from 1 species
AAUACAUCGGAACGUGCCUAGUAGUGGGGGAUAACUACUCGAAAGAGUGGCUAAUACCGCAUGAGAUCUACGGAUGAAAGCAGGGGAUCGCAAGACCUUGUGCUACUAGAGCGGCCGAUGGCAGAUUAGGUAGUUGGUGGGAUAAAAGCUUACCAAGCCGACGAUCUGUAGCUGGUCUGAGAGGACGAUCAGCCACACUGGGACUGAGACACGGCCCAGACUCCUACGGGAGGCAGCAGUGGGGAAUUUUGGACAAUGGGCGCAAGCCUGAUCCAGCAAUGCCGCGUGCAGGAUGAAGGCCUUCGGGUUGUAAACUGUUUUUGUACGGAACGAAAAGCCCUGGGUUAAUACCCUGGGGUCAUGACGGUACCGUAAGAAUAAGCACCGGCUAACUACGUGCCAGCAGCCGCGGUAAUACGUAGGGUGCGAGCGUUAAUCGGAAUUACUGGGCGUAAAGCGUGCGCAGGCGGUUUUGUAAGACAGAGGUGAAAUCCCCGGGCUCAACCUGGGAACUGCCUUUGUGACUGCAAGGCUAGAGUACGGCAGAGGGGGAUGGAAUUCCGCGUGUAGCAGUGAAAUGCGUAGAUAUGCGGAGG